rnacentral:rRNA from 1 species
GUACGAGAAAGUGGAGCAAUCCAUGAGUACAGUGGCGACCGGGUGAGUAACACGUGACCAACCUACCCUCGAGUGGGGAAUAACUCCGGGAAACCGGAGCUAAUACCGCAUAACAUCUUCGGAAUGCGAAUUCUGUGGAUCAAAGGAGCAAUCCGCUUGAGGAGGGGGUCGCGGCUGAUUAGCUAGUUGGUAGGGUAACGGCCUACCAAGGCGGAGAUCGGUAUCCGGCCUGAGAGGGCGCACGGACACACUGGAACUGAAACACGGUCCAGACUCCUACGGGAGGCAGCAGUGGGGAAUUUUGCGCAAUGGGGGAAACCCUGACGCAGCAACGCCGCGUGGAGGAUGAAGUCCCUUGGGACGUAAACUCCUUUCGACCCGGAAGAUACUGACGGUAUGGGUGGAAGAAGCACCGGCUAACUUUGUGCCAGCAGACGCGGUAAA